rnacentral:lncRNA from 1 species
UGGGUUUAAUCUCCAGCAACCCCCCCCCCCCAGGAAAAAAAAAUGUAGACUUGAGUGGGUGGGAAUAUUUAUCCCAAUCUGCUAUGUGUAAUGUUGUGUUGAAUGCUUUUACAGCAAAAUGUUCAACCGUUCCAUUCCCUUCAAACCCUGGUUAUUAUUAAUGCAUUUCUUCUAAGCCAACGCAUCUUCCCUCUUUGCCCUGUUUUCACUUGUCUCAGUUUCUCAACCCAGGGAAUAAAUACAGUGAAGGAGGUGAUUUUUUUCUCCCUCAAAAUGUUGUCCAACCAACUUGUCAGUCCAAAUUUCUGAUUUCUCUGUUGGUCUUUCCACCAACUGACUGACUCUUGCUGCCCUCUGUCUGAGUCCUCCUUGCAUCCAUCCUACCUUACAGAUGCAUGUUACAUAUACCAACCAGCUAGUUGAAAGACUCAGGUUUACUUCUGGUACUUUACUAACCUUCCCUUUUUCUCUUUCUCCUCCUCUUUCUCCUCUCCUUCUCUUGUUUUCCCUCCUCUCCGUUGCUGCUGCAGAGCGUCUCUACAGCCAACUUGAGCGAAACCGCCUGCUUUCUAAUGAGCUGAAGCUAACGCUGCAUGAUCUGUGUGACUGAUGGGCAGGGCUCACAGAUGCCCAGUAAACCACUGACCUGGACCCCAGCAAAAAAAACUGAUUGUCUUUUAAAAAGUUAUUAUUUUGCCCUAAGCAAGUUGUUUUUUAAUUGGGGCAGUUAGAACACUGUUGAUUUCCUAACAGCAUUGUUAAGUUAGAACAGUUGGAUACUGCAUUUUUAUCCCUUUAAAAGAGAUGAUGAGUUAUGAAGGAAAGGGCCUGAGAUUAUAGUGAAAACUUUUCUCCCGUUUCACUGCUGCUCUUCCAUGUGUGCACUGACUAUAGGAUAUGUUCUUUUGCAUGGAUGUUUUCUAACAAUAAAGAGACUGACUUUACAAGAUGUUGUAACUGCUUCAUCUGCAGGCUCAAGGAUGGGCCCUUCCGACUGGGUGGAAAAAAGGGAAGGGAAAGAAGGGUGUGGGAUAUGAAUAUGGAUCUUUGUUGCCAUCACCUUCUCUGAGUGAAGGUUUGAAUAUUUUCCUCCCCUCCUUAGAGCACUCAGGUUUGCUUGCUUAAUAGAUGAGGUGCUCCUUGAUGGUUAGCCACCAGUUUUCUUCCUAAUAUUUCCCUUCUUGCUUCCUUUUCCUGGUUUUAUGUUUAAUUGCAAGUAACUUGUCACAGGCUAGUUCUGGCUAAUGGCUCUGCAAAAACUAAGUAUAUGUUUAGAUAGUAUUCUUGGCUUUGUUUUCUUUGGCUUAGCCAUGAGGGCUUGUUUAUUUAUCCCACCAACUAUUUCUUUCCCCUUUACUUUUUAGAGAAAACAUGUAGUACAUGAGGAUUUCCUAUGCUCUUUUCAAGUUGAGAUUCUGGUGUUUCACUGGUAGAAAUAUGUCCAUCCUUGUUUGCAACGGUUAGACUGCAGUGGACCUCUUCAAGCAGAUAUUUGUUCCCUGCACAAAACCUAGAAGAGUGGAUGGCUGAAGCUUCAGGCCUGCUCCUUCAGUGACUGAAAUUGAAAGCCUUGGUUGGGUGUGGGAGGGAGAGGAAAUGGCUGAUAAGGUCCUCCACUCCCUCCCCCAGGAAGUACAGCUACUUAGCAACUUUGCAACUUCAGUAGGCAAGCCAGGGGCCCUGCACAAACCCAGUGAGGCAAUGGCUCACUGUUGUGGUUGAGAAGGCAGCUGCUUUCUUAGUCUGCAGCUUCCCUGAAGCAGGACCAAGUCCAGAGAGUGAACAGACCCGGAAAUUUACUUUUGAUAACUUCUCUCCUUUAUCCCCAUUAGAUAAGCUGAAAUGCACCAAAGA